AACGCACAUUGCGCCCGGUAGUAAUCUGCCGGGCAUGCCUGUCCGAGCGUCAUUUCAACCCUCGACCCGCUAUUUCGGUAGCCGGAUCGGUGUUGGAGCACUAUGGUGUAAUACCCGUAGGCCCCGAAAUGAAGUGGCGGUCCCGCCGCGGCGCCCCCAUGUGUAGUAACUUUUAGUCUCGCAUCGGGUCCCGGCGGAGGCCUGCCGUCAAUCCUAUUUUCUUAACAUGGUUUGACCUCGGAUCAGGUAGGGUUACCCGCUGAACUUAA
rnacentral:misc_RNA from 1 species